UGUGGGAGCGAGCUUGCUCGCGAUGGCGGCAUCACAUUCAGCAAUUGUUGAGACUGAUGCUCCGCUAUCGCGAGCAAGCUCGCUCCCACA
rnacentral:misc_RNA from 1 species